rnacentral:rRNA from 1 species
CCGGCCGCCAGCGGCACUUGCAAAAUUUGGAUCCGCAAGGACCGGGGCAGCGGGACGUCCGCGUGGCAGGGUGCACUUUCUCCGCGGUCGAGUGCUACGACCGGUUUCGCGGCGGUCAGAAGCCCGGCGGAAAGGUAGCGCCGCCCCUCGGGGUGUCGUGUUAUAGGCCGCCGCGGUGGACUCGCCGCGAGACCGAGGACGCUUGCCGCGCCGAGCGGUCCCGGGCCGUCUUGGGAGGUUCGACCUCGGCUGCACUGCUCCGCAGAGCACCGUAACCGCCGCCCUAGCACGGGUCCGGAGACUGCCGGCGCCUCGGGUCAGUAGCG